UACGUAGGGCGCAAGCGUUGUCCGGAAUUAUUGGGCGUAAAGAGCUCGUAGGCGGUUUGGUAAGUCGGGUGUGAAAUCUCCACGCUCAACGUGGAGGGGCCACCCGAUACUGCCAUGACUGGAGUCCGGUAGGGGAGUGUGGAAUUCCCGGUGUAGCGGUGAAAUGCGCAGAUAUCAGGAGGAACACCGGUGGCGAAGGCGGGUCUCUGGGCCGAUACUGACGCUGAGGAGCGAAAGCGUGGGGAGCGAACAGG
rnacentral:rRNA from 1 species